rnacentral:misc_RNA from 1 species
ACAUCUUCACGUAACAUACAGAAAUUUAGCGUAAAUGAACUAGAUA